rnacentral:rRNA from 2 species
GGCUUAGAGUUUGAUCCUGGUUCAGAUUGAAUGCUGGACGGCGUGGAUGAGGCAUGCAAGUCGAACGAAGUGUGCUCUUGAGUGCAACUUAGUGGCGGAAGGGUUAGUAAUACAUGGGUAAUCUACCUUUAACUCUGGGAUAACGGUUGGAAAACGACCGCUAAUACCGGAUAUGGUGCUAGAGAGGAUCUUUUUAGCAUUAAAGUGGGGGAUUGGGCGACCGACCUUACGGUUAAAGAAGGGCCCACGGGAUAUCAGCUAGUUGGUGAAGUAAAGGCUCACCAAGGCUAAGACGUCUAGGCGAGUUGAGAGAUUGACCGCCAACACUGGGACCGAGACGCUGCCCAGACUCCUACGGGAGGCUGCAGUCAAAAAUCUUUCGCAAUGGGCGAAAGCCUGACAAACCGACGCCGUGUGAAUGAAGAAGGCCCUUGGGUCGUGAAUUUCUUUCGCAUGGGAACAAGAGAAGGAUGCUAAUAUCAUCUGGAUUUGAGCGUACCUUGUAAAGAAGCACCGGCUAACUCCGUGCCAGCAGCUGCGGUAAUACGGAGGGUGCGAGCAUUAAUCGGAUUUAUUGGGCGUAAAGGGGGCGUAGGCUGGAAUAUAAUUCAGCCGUGAAAUCCCGGGGCUCAACCCCGGAACUGCGUUUGAAACUAUAUUUCUAGAGGCAAGGCGGAGAAAACGGAAUUCCCCAUGUUGCCGGUGAAAAUGCGUAGAUAUUUGGAAAAACACCAGUGGCGAAGGCGGUUUUCUAGCUUUGACCUGACGCUGAUGCCCGAAAGCUAGGGGAGCGAACAGGAUUAGAUACCCUGGUAGUCCUAGCCGUAAACGAUGCAUACUUGGUGUAGCCGGACUCAACCCUGGCUGUGCCGUAGCUAACGCGUUAAGUAUGCCGCCUGGGGAGUACGCCCGCAAGGGUAAAACUCAAAAGAAUUGACGGGGACCCGCACAAGCAGUGGGGCAUGUGGUUUAAUUCGAUGCAACGCGAAGAACCUUACCUGGGCUUGACAUAUACAUGACGGCUCUAGAGAUAGAGUAUUCCUUCGGGACAUAUAUACAGGUGCUGCAUGGCUGUCGUCAGCUCGUGCCGUGAGGUGUUGGGUUAAGUCCCGCAACGAGCGCAACCCUUAUCGUUAGUUGCCAGCAUUUAGGAUGGGAACUCUAACGAGACUGCCUGGGUUAACCAGGAGGAAGGUGAGGAUGACGUCAAGUCCGCAUGGCCCUUAUGGCCAGGGCUACACACGUGCUACAAUGGCAGGUACAGAAGGCAGCGAAACCGCGAGGUCAAGCAAAUCCUACGAAGCCUGGCCCGGUUCGGAUUGGAAUCUGCAACUCGGCUCCAUGAAGUUGGAAUUGCUAGUAAUGGCGUGUCAGCAAUAACGCCGUGAAUACGUUCCCGGGUCUUGUACACACCGCCCGUCUCAUCAUGGGAGUUGGUUUCACCCGAAGUCGCUGACUUAACCGCAAGGGAAGAGGUGCCGAAGGUGAGGCUGAUGACUGGGAUGAAGUCGUAACAAGGUAGCCGUACCGGAAGGUGCGGCUGGAUCACCUCCUUUA